rnacentral:rRNA from 2 species
GGAUGCGAUCAUACCAGCACUAAAGCACCGGAUCCCAUCAGAACUCCGAAGUUAAGCGUGCUUGGGCUAGAGUAGUACUAGGAUGGGUGACCUCCUGGGAAGUACUCCUGUUGCAUUCC